UACGAAGGGGGCUAGCGUUGCUCGGAAUCACUGGGCGUAAAGCGCACGUAGGCGGCUUUCUAAGUCAGGGGUGAAAUCCUGGAGCUCAACUCCAGAACUGCCUUUGAUACUGGAGAGCUAGAGUCCGGAAGAGGUGAGUGGAACUGCGAGCGUAGAGGUGAAAUUCGUAGAUAUUCGCAAGAACACCAGUGGCGAAGGCGGCUCACUGGCCCGGUACUGACGCUGAGGUGCGAAAGCGUGGGGAGCAAACAGG
rnacentral:rRNA from 1 species